rnacentral:misc_RNA from 1 species
UUUGUUUUUUAAUUAAAAACUAGAAUGAAAGGUUAUACAUUUAAAUUUCUUUAUUAAUUUUUUAUAUAUAAUUUAUAUUAAAUAUAAAAAUAUAUUUUUUAAAUAAAAAGACGAUAAGACCCUAUUAAAUUUUACUUAUAGUUUAACUGGGGAAGUUUUAAAAAUAAAAUUUUUUAUAAAAAUAAAAAUAAAUCUAAUAAAAUUAAAAUUAAAUUAAAUUACUAUAGGGAUAACAGCAUUAUAUUUUUUAAAAGUUCAUAUUAAAAAAAAUGAUUGUGACCUCGAUGUUGAAUUAUAUUUUCUUUAUUAAUGCAAUAAUUAUAAAAGUAGAUCUGUUCGAUCUUUAAAAUAUUACAUGAUUUGAGUUCAAACCGGUGUAAACCAGGUUGGUUUCUAUCUUUUUAUAAAUUCAUAUAUAUAUGUAUAUAUAUAAAUUUUUCAAGUACGAAAGGAAAAAAAAAUUUUUAUUUUAAUUAAUUAGCAAUUAAUAUGCAUUAGAUUUAGAAUCUAAAUAAACUAUUAUU